ACCCCCUGGCAAUGGGCAAAGAGACACCUUGGUGGUGUUGUUCUUAUAUCAGUCAGGGGCAGAGCAGAUGACAGUCCUUUGUUCAUCCUAGCUUGAUGCCUGCCUUGGUGGCCAAAGCUGUUUCAUGCCUAGGGCACAUUU
ensembl:snoRNA Gm25117 predicted gene, 25117